rnacentral:rRNA from 1 species
AUUGAACGCUGGCGGCAUGCCUUACACAUGCAAGUCGAACGGCAGCACGGGUGCUUGCACCUGGUGGCGAGUGGCGAACGGGUGAGUAAUACAUCGGAACAUGUCCUGUAGUGGGGGAUAGCCCGGCGAAAGCCGGAUUAAUACCGCAUACGAUCUACGGAUGAAAGCGGGGGGCCUUCGGGCCUCGCGCUAUAGGGUUGGCCGAUGGCUGAUUAGCUAGUUGGUGGGGUAAAGGCCUACCAAGGCGACGAUCAGUAGCUGGUCUGAGAGGACGACCAGCCACACUGGGACUGAGACACGGCCCAGACUCCUACGGGAGGCAGCAGUGGGGAAUUUUGGACAAAGGGCGAAAGCCUGAUCCAGCAAUGCCGCGUGUGUGAAGAAGGCCUUCGGGUUGUAAAGCACUUUUGUCCGGAAAGAAAUCCUUGGCCCUAAUACGGUCGGGGGAUGACGGUACCGGAAGAAUAAGCACCAGCUAACUACGUG